rnacentral:rRNA from 1 species
AUUGAACGCUGGCGGCAUGCUUUACACAUGCAAGUCGAACGGCAGCGCGGGCUUCGGCCUGGCGGCGAGUGGCGAACGGGUGAGUAAUACAUCGGAACGUGCCCAGCAGUGGGGGAUAGCUCGGCGAAAGCCGGAUUAAUACCGCAUACGACCUGAUGGUGAAAGCGGGGGAUCUUCGGACCUCGCGCUAUUGGAGCGGCCGAUGGCGGAUUAGCUAGUUGGUGGGGUAAAGGCCUACCAAGGCGACGAUCUGUAGCCGGUCUGAGAGGACGACCAGCCACACUGGGACUGAGACACGGCCCAGACUCCUACGGGAGGCAGCAGUGGGGAAUGUUGGACAAUGGGCGAAAGCCUGAUCCAGCAAUGCCGCGUGUGUGAUGAAGGCCUUCGGGUUGUAAAGCACUUUUGGCGGGAACGAAAAGGACUGUGCUAAUACCACGGUUCGAUGACGGUACCCGCAGAAUAAGCACCGGCUAACUACGUG